rnacentral:rRNA from 1 species
AGCGAACGCUGGCGGCAGGCCUAACACAUGCAAGUCGAACGAAGCCUUCGGGCUUAGUGGCGGACGGGUGAGUAACACGUGGGAACGUACCUUUUGGUUCGGAAUAACGCAGGGAAAUUUGCGCUAAUACCGAAUGAGCCCUUCGGGGGAAAGAUUUAUCGCCGAAAGAUCGGCCCGCGUUGGAUUAGGUAGUUGGUGUGGUAAAGGCGCACCAAGCCUACGAUCCAUAGCUGGUCUGAGAGGAUGAUCAGCCACACUGGGACUGAGACACGGCCCAGACUCCUACGGGAGGCAGCAGUGGGGAAUCUUGCGCAAUGGGCGAAAGCCUGACGCAGCCAUGCCGCGUGAAUGAUGAAGGUCUUAGGAUUGUAAAAUUCUUUUACCAGGGACGAUAAUGACGGUACCUGGAGAAAAAGCCCCGGCUAACUUCGUGCCAGCAGCCGCAGUAA